rnacentral:rRNA from 3 species
CGGGCGUUAAGUUGCAGGGUAUAGACCCGAAACCCGGUGAUCUAGCCAUGGGCAGGUUGAAGGUUGGGUAACACUAACUGGAGGACCGAACCGACUAAUGUUGAAAAAUUAGCGGAUGACCUGUGGCUGGGGGUGAAAGGCCAAUCAAACCGGGAGAUAGCUGGUUCUCCCCGAAAGCUAUUUAGGUAGCGCCUCGUGAAUUCAUCUCCGGGGGUAGAGCACUGUUUCGGCUAGGGGGCCAUCCCGGCUUACCAACCCGAUGCAAACUGCGAAUACCGGAGAAUGUUAUCACGGGAGACACACGGCGGGUGCUAACGUCCGUCGUGAAGAGGGAAACAACCCAGACCGCCAGCUAAGGUCCCAAAGUCAUGGUUAAGUGGGAAACGAUGUGGGAAGGCCCAGACAGCCAGGAUGUUGGCUUAGAAGCAGCCAUCAUUUAAAGAAAGCGUAAUAGCUCACUGGUCGAGUCGGCCUGCGCGGAAGAUGUAACGGGGCUAAACCAUGCACCGAAGCUG